UAAAGGCAUAUUGUACGAUUUUCAGUGAUAUGCACUUUUUAAUAUGUUGUUGAAAUUGGUUUAUACAUCCUGACAGCAAUAAAUAACUUAUGGGCAAUGAAAAAGAAGCGAAAAAAAAAACGAAUUCUGUAUCUGCUAUAAACCUGUUAAAAUGCUUACCAAUCGGAGACAUUGUACCCGAAUCUAAAGAACCAAUCACAAGCCUGCGCGUUCUCUCCCCUCUGUGUACGAGCCUGAGCCGGCCUGAGCGCGUUCACGGAGGGCAAAGAAAGCGUUGUUAUCAUAGUAGUUCAUGACAGUGGACUAGACCUAGUGAGCCUACAACGUUAACACGAUGGAAGAAAAAAAACAGAAGUUACCACUGCCACCGUUACUUGCCCCGGUUCAUCCUUUUAAAAAGGCAAGAAAAGGAAAGACAGAAAAUGAAAAGGCAGCAACAAAAAAAAAGUUGGAGAAUGCUCGAGGAAAAACGAGAAUAAAUAUUGGAUUCGCUUUUCAGCGAUGGCGACAGCUGAGGGAGUUGAAUGGCCUGAAAAGUGACGCAAUGGUUGCCGUUGAAGUAAGCCGUAAGCAGCAUUAGCGCUCGUGCACGGCUCUGUGUCGAGGGGUUGGGGCAGGGAGUCCUGAAGGGUGGGGGAGGAGUUAAACGGAACUCCGAAGAGAAGCUAAUUUCAAAUCAUGCUAGCUCUCUCACAUCGUACAGUAUAGCUUUAAUUGCAUAUUGUACGAUUUUCAGUGAUAUGCACUUUUUAAUAUGUUGUUGAAAUUGGUUUAUACAUCCUGACAGCAAUAAAUAACUUAUGGGCAAUGAAAAAGAAGCGAAAAAAAAACGAAUUCUGUAUCUGCUAUAAACCUGUUAAAAUGCUUACCAAUCGGAGACAUUGUACCCGAAUCUAAAGAACCAAUCACAA